UUUUUUUUUUUUCCCCCUUUGGUUUUUAUUUCUUUUUCCUCCUCUUUUUUUUUUUUUUUUUUUUUUUAAGACAACAGAAUUCUUAGUAGACUUGGAUAGCGAUGUAUUUCCUGUUGUAGUGGUUUUUAGCUAGAUCACACCAUCAGGUCUUUGCCAAUGAAAUGUAGGCUAGAAGAGCACCCCCUGCCCGUUGGCUAACCUCCCGUGUCCAUGUAGCUUCAGUCAUCCUUGUCCCAGUCCAUUCUCAUAGAUGGCCCUGUCUUACCCAGGGUGACAUCGUAGCCAAAUGUUUACCGUUCUCAUUGCCUUUUUAAGGCCUUGACGACUUCCCUUCCCACCAGCUGAGAAUGUAUGGAGGGUCAGUCGGGCCUCUGCUCAGAGGCAGUGACCUGGGGCCAAGGGACCUCAAGCUCUCCUCCCCCACCCACCCCUCAGCCUCAUCUACCCAGCCUGCUUCUCCAGCUUUCUGCGUAGCUUUGGCCAGGAAAGCGUGCAAUAGACUUGCUCCAAGCCUAGCAUUCAUAGGCCUUGGGGUUGGGCCUGGGACCUGGGGCACCACUUCCUGUCCGAGGGUCACUUCUCUGGGAUGAGGAGGAGACCCGACUGGGAGCUCUGCAUGGCAGAUAGCUGCAUGUGCUGCCCCACUACCCCGACCUGCCUGACUCCUCCCUGGGUUGCUCUGCCGAUGUACUGCUGCCAUCCCAUAGCCCCACCAAAUCAAGACCCUCCCGAUGACCUGUCAACAAACCGGCCACAACAGGCUGCAAUCUGUAGCACUGAAAAAGCAAACAAAAACAAACAAACAAAAACAAAACAACAAAAAAAAAAACGCUCAAGCCUUACGACCAGAGAAGGAUUUCAGCAAACCACACUCCUCCGUCCCUCCGUUUCCCUCCUGCCUUCCAGUUCCCUGCUGACUUCAAGGACGACUGUGUGCUCACACAAAACCCAGCACGGUUCUACCCCACUGAAACUGUGACUUCCCAGAUGAGCCUCUCCCUAGGGCUGGACCUAAGGCCAGGACAUUGGAGAGAAGCCGCAGCUCAAAGCUCCCAGCCCCUUGAGGCUGGCGAGUUCCCCUUAGGUGCAGUGCGGCUCACCCCGGCUCCGCCCUCUUUAGAGCCCAGAAUUCCUGGCAACCGGAUAGAACCAACCAACUAGAGGCUUUACAGUUGGCAAGCUAACUAUAGGCCUUAUCUUUGCCUUUAAUCUCCCACAAGGCCUCUCCUGCUUUGGAUUCUCCUCGACUCUUAGGCGUGCCUCCACCACGAAGGCACACCCUAGGUAGGCUGAAAGGUAGACCUGUCCCCACCACCGCAGCAGGUGACCGUGUCUGUGUUUUCAGCCCACACGUCCGUCCACAGUCCACGUCGCUUCCCAGAUUACAACCUGGCCUAAAUGCAGACUCCUUCCUGCUCUGUCUCUGACCUAAGUGCUUUCUUGUUUGAGACGCCUGUGACCCUCCACAUCCCGUGCCCUGCUGUUGUGUUUUCUGUGUUGCUUGGAGUCUUUGGGGGUCAUGUUCCCUAUCCCCCCCCCUGCCCCCACCGCCACCCCCACCCCCAGGGCAGAUCUGACUGGCUGUUUGCUGAAGUUUUUUGUCUCUUGGUCCACAAGUAUUUGGAAUGGUCACUGAUAACUGGUCUUCAGUCUUGGCAUCUCACUUAGGACCUCCACGAGAAACGGGUUCCUUGAGCCCUGACAAGUGUAUAUUGCGUGUCUCAUCUGUGAAGUGCUUCCUGCUACAUAGAGCUAGCUCAACAGACUGUACAUAUUUACAAGAAACUUUAUAUUCGUAAAAAAAAAAAAAAGGAAAUUGAAUUGGUUUCUACUUUUUUAUUGUAAAAGGUGCAUUUUUCAAUACUUUUGUUUUCAACGGUGGUAGCCGCGGACAGCCGUCUCCGCCGGAGUGGGGAACUCUUCUGUGUGACCACCGGGACGCCAGCAGGAAAUAAUCGUAACCCGAAAUCGCAGUCAAAAGCUUCUAUUAGCAUCAAUAAGAUUCUAGGUCUCCAAAAAUUACAGGCUUUUCUUCAUUACCUUUUUUUAUUAAGAACGAGGAGAACACAUGGGCACACAUGGGCAAUUCCAGAUCCACCUGAGAGGGAUGGCUCUGUUGUUGAACAAUAAUGAAAUAAAGCAGUGGUCUC
rnacentral:lncRNA from 1 species